GAGGGUGUAGCUCAGUGGUAGAGCACAUGCCUAGCAUGCACGAGGUCCUGGGUUCAAUCCCCAGCACCUCUC
rnacentral:tRNA from 1 species